AACAGCGCUCCCAGAUCCUAGAUCAGUGACACAGACAAACGAACACCUCAAACAGUAGCUCCGCCCACAUCUGACUGGAUCGGUGGACAACAAUACUGGAGAGAAACCUGGGGUGUGUUCCAGAAAGCGGGUUAUGUGACAUACCCAGAGUUUCCAAACGUGAUUGGGUGCAUCGAUAGCACCCACAUUCCUAUUAAAGCUCCUUCAGUCAAUGAGGGAGACUAUGUUAAGAGGAAGUCAUUUCACAGUAUCAUUGUACAGGUAUAAUUUGAUGCAACCCAUCUCAUCACUAAUGUUGAAGCCAAAUGAUCAGGGUCAGUGCAUGAUUCUAGAAUCUUCAGGGAAUCAUCACUAUGUCUAUUCAGUAUGUUUCAACAGGGACACUACAGUAGCUACUUGCUGGGGGACAGAGGGUUCCCUUGUCUGCCCUAUUUAAUGACACCCUACCCUGAACCUGAGCCAGGACCACAGACGCGGUUCAACCGGGCCACAGCAGAAGACGGCCAAGGUGGAGACGACCACAGGCAUCCUAAAGGCGAGGUUCCAGUGUCUACGUGGCCUCAGGGUCAGUUCAGAGAGGGCAUGUGACAAUAUAGUGGAUUGUGUUGUCCUUCACAACAUUGCCACAAUACGAGCCGAGCAACCCUCCUUGUCCUGCUGAAGAUGAGCAAGAGGAUCCAGUAGUGAACCAAGUAGACCACAGAGAUGGAAGACUCUUAAGACACAUGAUUUGUCAGAAUCACUUUUAUUAAGAUUUCUGCACCAAAGCACUCAUCAUUUCUUCAUGUCCUGAAAAAUAAAAUGGAAUAUUAUUUACAUUGCUUCACACAAAGUCCCAGACUGUGUGCUUUCUGGAGGGUCCAAUAAUAAAGGCUCCAGAAGGAUUACACCUUUUAAACAAGAAUAUUACUAUUACCUAAUAUUAUUCAAAUCUCAUGGAAUUAAUAGUACAAAACCAUGUAGAAGUUAUGUUCAAUUUUCCUUUACAAUAAAAGAGGAGAGGGCAACAUAACGGUAAUUAAAUAAACUCAAUUUACUUUUUUUUAUUCUUUUUUUUCCUUCGCCGAUGCAGCUGUGUUGCUUUUUCUAUUAAUAAUCGGCUUAAACUUUUCAUUCUCUGCAUUAAAACCUCCAACUCCGCUGUUGAAAUACGCUGCCAUUAUAGUGUCGCUUUUUUCCAUGGUGACUCGUGAAUUUGGUGAUCUAUUGACAAUGUCUUUAUAUAUACACCGUGCAUGUGCGUUAACUCUGGGUUACCGACAGGAGGUAGAUUAACCUAACUCUUAUCAGGUAUUUUGGAACCGACAUAGUCAGGGUAAGCAGGUUCUGGGUUAAUCAACCCAGAGUUCAGGGUUUAGCAGAAGGUUAAUCAACCCUGCUUUCUGGAACACACCCCUGAAGUUUAAGCCAUCAUGGUCGUCAGCUCCGACUCGGAACUUGAACGGGCUGUAACGGCAGGUGUGUGGGCUGAGGCUCCGCUUCAAACUGCUGUUCCGUCGUAAACACCAUUAAUGAGGAGCUAAGUAUGUUUGAAUAGAAUAUCUCUGUGGCACCGGUGGAGAAUUAGUUAGCUAAUUUUACUAGCUAGCCAAAGUUACUUCCACGCUAUAAACGAAGGUUUCCAGGGGUGCACAUUGAUACUGUGAAAUGACUUCCUAUUAACAUAGUCUCCCUCAUUGACUGAAGGAGCUUUAAUAGGAAUGUGGGUGCUAUCGAUGCAUCCAAUCAUGUUUGGAAACUCUGAAAUGGAAAGUAAUAAAGUAAUACGGAAAAUGUGCGUCUGUGCAGUACGUCCAAGGUGUCCGUAUUAAAAUAUGUGCCAUAGAUUAUCAUAGAAAGGACAAACCUGCCGCUCAAAAAUGUCCUGAUGCAAAAAACGAAG